CCUACGGGAGGCUGCAGUGAGGAAUAUUGGUCAAUGGACGAGAGUCUGAACCAGCCAAGUAGCGUGAAGGAUGACUGCCCUAUGGGUUGUAAACUUCUUUUAUAUGGGAAUAAAAUGUUCCACGUGUGGGAUUUUGUAUGUACCAUAUGAAUAAGGAUCGGCUAACUCCGUGCCAGCAGCAGCGGUAAUACGGAGGAUCCGAGCGUUAUCCGGAUUUAUUGGGUUUAAAGGGAGCGUAGGUGGAUUGUUAAGUCAGUUGUGAAAGUUUGCGGCUCAACCGUAAAAUUGCAGUUGAAACUGGAAGUCUUGAGUACAGUAGAGGUGGGCGGAAUUCGUGGUGUAGCGGUGAAAUGCUUAGAUAUCACGAAGAACUCCGAUUGCGAAGGCAGCUCACUGGACUGCAACUGACACUGAGGCUCGAAAGUGUGGGUAUCAAACAGGAUUAGAUACCCGAGUAGUC
rnacentral:rRNA from 1 species